rnacentral:rRNA from 1 species
UACGUAGGCAGCAAGCGUUGUUCGGAGUUACUGGGCGUAAAGGGUGCGUAGGCGGCCCUGUAAGUAUGGUGUGAAAUCUCCCGGCUUAACUGGGAGGGUGCGCUAUAGACUGCGGGGCUCGAGUGUGGGAGAGGAAAGUGGAAUUCCUGGUGUAGCGGUGAAAUGCGUAGAUAUCAGGAGGAACACCGGUGGUGUAAACGGCUUUCUGGACCAUAAACUGACGCUGGAGGCAACGAAAGCGUGGGUAGCAAACAGG